UCCUGUCUACUUCUUCCUCUCCCCGCCCCUCCUUCCGCAGCAGGGGAUAAAGAGCAGAGGGAACCGGAGGAGAGGUCUGCAGGGCCUCUUUGACUCUGCUGACCAUCAGCGGCCAUGAGAUGCUGCCCACAGGAGAGAAACGGGAGUGGCGGAGACCGAGGGGGCUGCAGCAUGAACCCGCACUGUGUGCCCCCCCCACCCCGUCCUGCUGCCUCCAGGUCCCAGGCUGCAGACCUUGGGUCUCUUUGCUGGUAGGAAGCUCAUCAAUUUGCCUGGGGAGGAGGGGGCGGCUGCCUGAGGCGGAGGAGGGAUUCAGGUGGCAGCUACAGCCAAACGGGUUUUGCAAUGAUCCCCUGCCUCCCAUCCCCACCUCCUGCUUCAGAAACAAGCAUGGUAUAUCAAGGGCAAUCCUACAUAAGGGCCUGGAAGAGCUGCAGGGAGAUCCUGGUGCUGUACUCUUCUAGAGCCGUCUCCUCCUCCCUGCAGAGCUAAUAGGCAUGACUGGCAUGAAUAUAUCCAUACAUCUUGCUAUAAAUAUACACAUCUUUAGUUAUAUAUAUCUUUUCUUCUAAAGACUUGGCAAGAAUUCCCUAGAAGCCUUUUCCAUGACACAAUAGAAAACCAGCAGAGUCAUCGGUUUGAUGGUUCCCACAAACACAGCUUCGGGUUGACCUUCGCAAAGCUCCUUUGAACUCGGCUUCCCAUAACUGAACCCCUUCAGCCCUCACUGGCCUCCCAUACCCUGGCAACCACAAAAUAAAGCUCAGUUUCCUGAAACUGCCA